ACGUAGGGUGCAAGCGUUAAUCGGAAUUACUGGGCGUAAAGCGCGCGUAGGCGGCUUUGUAAGUUAGAGGUGAAAGCCCGGGGCUCAACCCCGGAACUGCCUUUAAGACUGCAUCGCUUGUAUCCGGGAGAGGUGAGUGGAAUUCCGAGUGUAGAGGUGAAAUUCGUAGAUAUUCGGAAGAACACCAGUGGCGAAGGCGGCUCACUGGACCGGUAUUGACGCUGAGGUGCGAAAGCGUGGGGAGCAAACAGGA
rnacentral:rRNA from 1 species